AUUCGUGGUCUGGGGUGCUGAAUUCAGCUGAGAGAUACCCAAAUAACCUGAUGCAGUUUGCACUGACGUAGGGAGUACCAUUUUUAGUCAUC
rfam:Lactobacillus odoratitofui DSM 19909 = JCM 15043 strain DSM 19909 NODE_182, whole genome shotgun sequence.